ACAGGGCUGAGGUCUCCGAGGAAGGCAGAGCUGUGGUCUAGAAGAAGAUGAGACUCUUGGGUCUUCUCCUUUGCGUGAUGAUGGCUCCCCAAGGAGUCCUGUCCCAGGUGAAGCUGCAGAGUUGGGGCCCAGAACUUGUGAAGCCCUCGCAGACAAUCUCCCUCACUUGUGCUGUCUAUGGAUCCUCCUUCACAAGCAGUGAUUAUGGUUGGAGCUGGACUCGCCAGCCCCUAAGGAAGGGGCUGGAGUGGAUGGGACUUGUAAGCUAUAGUGGUAGCACUUACUACAGCCCAUCCCUCAAGAGCCGCAUCUCCAUCUCCAGAGACACGUCCAAGAACCAGUUCUCCCUGCAGCUGAGCUCCGUGACCACCGAGGACACGGCCGUGUAUUACUGUGCAAGAGUGAAAGUUAGAUAUUAUGAUGCACACAGUGAGGGGAAAUUACUUAACACCGUGAUGAUGAUUGUUGAGGUGGGUCUGGAUUCAUUUCUGCAGAAUGUGCUGGUCUUCUCUCCCACACAGAACAAUCUGGCAGAGCAGCUCUUUGUGAUGUGUUCUCAGUCCUGGAGGAAAAGGCUUUAA